AAACUAAUAUUUUAACAGCAAUGUGAAUACUCUAGCUGCCACCAUGCAAUAUAGCAGCAGAAUUUAAAUUCAACUGCAAGCGUUAUCAUAGAUGGAUGGACGUAUCAGAUAUGUUUGAAAUAUAUGCUCGUGUAUGCGUAUAAAUGAAAUAUGGCCCAGGCAUUGCAGAUACAGAUCAACACCGGAGAUAAUCAAGAUGAUAAUCAUCUCAGAGAAAAGUUUCAUGAAGAAAUAAAGAAGAAUUACAAUACCGUAUUUGAGGAUAUGUCUUCAAACAUCUGUUCAGUCAUUUAUGCAUACUAAUCAACCUGGAGACAAAAUUAAGAGUAUAUUGUGGUUCACAGUGAAAGUCGAUCGAAUUCCGAUGAAAACUUAUGAUUUAGGCGCCAUACAUCUAAGAUUGUUCUUGUAGUUGUUGGUGUUGUUCAGCUCCAGGCCGACUCAGAAGACGCAGACCUAUGGAGAAAGACUUUCAAGCUGAUUGGAAAGAAUCCGAUUAUGUCUUCUCGACAUAUUGUAUUCAGGUCUACUUUAUUCAAUGCGAACUUCCUUUUGUAAGACGACACGUUGAUGGAACACUGGCUGGUAUUUUUAACCCAACCUGUGACUACACUGAAGAAAUGUCAUUUUGUUCGACACAGAGAUUUCAUCCUCGAUAUAUUUAUGUUGAUUUAAAAUUUGGACAAAACUUUUAAUGUGAAU